UGUAGUGGGCGUACACUGUGGUACUCAU
rnacentral:sRNA from 1 species